CAAUAGCGUAUAUUUAAGUUGUUGCAGUUAAAAAGCUCGUAGUUGGAUUUCGGGUGGGACGCAGCGGUCUCGCAUUGCGUUUGUACUGCUGCAGCCCUCCUUCUUGCCGGGGACGGCCUCUCGGACUUCACUGUCUGGGGGUCAGAAUCGGCGAUGUUACUUUGAGUAAAUUAGAGUGUUCAAAGCAAGCUUACGCUCUGAAUAUAAUAGCAUGGGAUAACACGACAGGACUCUGGCCUAUCGUGUUGGUCUAUAGGACCAGAGUAAUGAUUAAGAGGGACAGUCGGGGGCAUUCGUAUUCCGUUGUCAGAGGUGAAAUUCUUGGAUUUACGGAAGACGAACAUCUGCGAAAGCAUUUGCCAAGGAUGUUUNCAUUG
rnacentral:rRNA from 1 species